rnacentral:rRNA from 1 species
CGUGAACGCUGGCGGUAGGCCUAACACAUGCAAGUCGAACGGCAGCACAGUAAGAGCUUGCUCUUACGGGUGGCGAGUGGCGGACGGGUGAGGAAUACAUCGGAAUCUACUUUUUCGUGGGGGAUAACGUAGGGAAACUUACGCUAAUACCGCAUACGACCUACGGGUGAAAGCAGGGGAUCUUCGGACCUUGCGCGAUUGAAUGAGCCGAUGUCGGAUUAGCUAGUUGGCGGGGUAAAGGCCCACCAAGGCGACGAUCCGUAGCUGGUCUGAGAGGAUGAUCAGCCACACUGGAACUGAGACACGGUCCAGACUCCUACGGGAGGCAGCAGUGGGGAAUAUUGGACAAAGGGCGCAAGCCUGAUCCAGCCAUACCGCGUGGGUGAAGAAGGCCUUCGGGUUGUAAAGCCCUUUUGUUGGGAAAGAAAAGCAGCAGGUUAAUACCCCGCUGUUCUGACGGUACCCAAAGAAUAAGCACCGGCUAACUUCGUG